ACCUGCACCCACCAGUAAUACCAGCUCCCCAGGCUGCAUGGGGGCUCAGGGGUGUGUGCUCCUCACAGAGCUGUGUGCAGAGCCCGGGGUGUAACGUGGGGUCAUAAUUUGCUGAGCACCCACAAGCUCAGGGCUCUGGGGCUUGGUCUCCAAUAGUGUGGAGUGGACAUGGUGUCUUGGCAGGACAAAGCUCGUACUCGGAGUCAUUCCUCUAGCUUGUCUGGGGAGCUGGAGCAAGGUGAUAUGUGAGCAGCAAGUGAUGGCUGUGGUAAUUGUCAAAGAGGUAAUUAAAGCCACAGCACAGCCUAGGUUCUGGUUAAGCUCACAGUGGCAGUGGUGUUUGGUGAAAGGCCAGUGAAAGAGCAUUGCCAUCCUGGCUGUGCCUAACAGCACUGAAGUCUUCAAUACUGGAGUCUUCAAUAAGGUCCUGAAGUGCUCUACCUCCAGUACAGCUCCUUCUAUCUGCAUUCCAUCAGAGGGUUGUUGAAAGCAGAUUCCCAUUUACAGUAAGUUAAAAAUUAACCCUGCAUCAGGACUACAGGGCUCGGUGUGUGCCCGCCCGCCCCUCGGGCCACUGCAGUGCUGUUUGCAUGUCGAGCUGCACCCCUACAGCUCCCAGCAGGCCCUGCAUGGGAAAAAGAUGACGGGGCUCCCCUGAGCGGGUGGCCUUUCCAUCAUUCGUGUUCUCUAGACCCUUCAC